CAACAGGGAUUGCCUUAGUAACGGCGAGUGAAGCGGCAACAGCUCAAAUUUGAAAUCUGGCCCUCGGGUCCGAAUUGUAAUUUGUAGAGGAUGAUUUUGGUGCGGUAUCUUCCGAGUUCCUUGGAACAGGACGCCUUAGAGGGUGAGAGCCCCGUACGGUUGAAUGCCUAGCCUCUGUAAAUCUCCUUCGACGAGUCGAGUAGUUUGGGAAUGCUGCUCUAAAUGGGAGGUAAAUUUCUUCUAAAGCUAAAUAUUGGCCAGAGACCGAUAGCGCACAAGUAGAGUGAUCGAAAGAUGAAAAGCACUUUGAAAAGAGGGUUAAAUAGCACGUGAAAUUGUUGAAAGGGAAGGAUUUGUGACCAGACUUUUUCUGGGCGGAUCAUCCGGGGUUCUCUCCGGUGCACUUUGCCCAGUAAAGGCCAGUAUCGAUUUUCGGCGGCGGAUAAAAGCAGUGGGAAUGUGGCUCCCCACGGGGAGUGUUAUAGCCCAUUGUAUAAUACGCUGCUGGGGAUCGAGGUACGCGCUUCUGCAAGGAUGCUGGCGUAAUGGUUAUCAAUCA
rnacentral:rRNA from 2 species